rnacentral:rRNA from 1 species
UAGCAGAGCACUCCUACGGGGAGGCAGCAGUGGGGAAGUAUUGCACAAUGGGGGAAACCCUGAUGCAGCCAUGCCGCGUGUGUGAAGAAGGCCUUCGGGUUGUAAAGCACUUUCAGUAGGGAGGAAGGUAGUGUAGUUAACACCUGCAUUAUUUGACGUUACCUACAGAAGAAGCACCGGCUAACUCCGUGCCAGCAGCCGCGGUAAUACGGAGGGUGCGAGCGUUAAUCGGAAUUACUGGGCGUAAAGCGCAUGCAGGCGGCCUGUUAAGUCAGAUGUGAAAGCCCGGGGCUUAACCUCGGAAUUGCAUUUGAAACUGGCAGGCUAGAGUCUUGUAGAGGGGGGGUAGGAAUUUCAGGUGUAGCGGUGAAAUGCGUAGAGAUCUGAAGGAAUACCAGUGGCGAAGGCGGCCCCCUGGACAAAGACUGACGCUCAGAUGCGAAAGCGUGGGGAGCAAACAGGAUUAGAUACCCUGGUAG